UCAUCAGUCUCAUUCGAGAAGAAUUUUGUGAUCUUUGGCAUGGGACUUACGAUUUGAACAACCCAAGCGUUGAACCGCUGAUACAAAGCGACGAUGAAGAAGACUGUAUUUUUGACAGGACAGCGGGCGCAGAAGGCCGGAACCUCGGCAACAAUAAGCACGUUAAGGAGGAAGAUGAAUUGAUCAAUUAAUGGGAACUGUGCAAUCGAUUUAAAUAUAAAGCUGUGGGUCUAUGUCCAUAGAAAGUCACUUCAAAGGACGUUCUUCCAAAUUACAUAGUACCGCGCAGUGUAUAGCACUUUAUAGAUAAUAGCAACUAUAUUUCUAUACAGCUGAGUGAAGAAAUCAAACUCCAGCAACUAUAAUGGCAUUUGUAUACUUACAUAAAUUAUAUUUGUAAUUGUGUA